rnacentral:misc_RNA from 1 species
AUGAAGUAUAGGGAGUUGUAGCUGGCUCUAUUCGAGCAUGUGCACACUCCUUCACUUUACUUUACCACCUGUGCACCUUUUGUAGAUUAGUGACUUCAGUUGUCAAAGACUGGAUUGGAGUUUAUCUUCAGUGUCACUAGUCUAUGUUUUAUACACACUAUGUAUGUCAAGCAUGUCAUUAACAGGUCUUUGACCUUUAAUACAAUA